CGAAAGAUCCAUACCAGAUUGAAAGUACCCGAUCUCGGAAGUCAAGCAAUCUUGGGUUCGGUUAGUACUUAAAUGGGUGACCGUCUGGGUAUGCUAAGUAAGGUAUGCA
rfam:Ciona intestinalis ciona0198, whole genome shotgun sequence.